rnacentral:lncRNA from 1 species
UCCCACAAGGUUAAGGGAGCACUGUGGGCCCUUGACUGACAGUGUGGGGCAUGAUGGGAGAAGGCUCUCAAAGGCUAAGUCACCAGCAGAGUCUGACAGCCUCACUCUGUCCUACUAGGAUCCCCACAGCCGGCAUGUGGGGCACUGUGGGUGCCGUGGGACUGGUGUGGGUCACGGACUGGCGGCUGAUCCUGGACUGGGUGCCGUACAUCAAUGGCAAGUUUAAGAAGGACGAUUAGGCAGCCCCCUCCCCCACCACAGGCCUCGAUGGUGAGUCUGAGUGUUGGGCCUGACUACUCUGGGUUGGGGAUUUUGGGGUGGCCUGGACCUCAAACAGGGAUUCCUGCGACUUCCCCCAACACCUGGAUUCUGGAUCCUCCCUCAGCUGCUGGGCUGGCCUUGUUCAUGAAGCCGGUACUGAAGAGCCAUUGUCAGCUGUGGACAUCCAGCAGAGCUGGUGCCUGAGCCCUGGGUAGGAUGCAGACACCCACUGUCCAGCUGGGGAGCUGAAGCUGCCCCUUGCCACAGGCCUCUAGGGAUACAUUGCAUGCUGAGGGCAUGCACCACUGUGUCCCCAUCAAACCACACAAGACUGGAUAUGUUGCUAAUGUUGGUGGCUUGUGUCCAGAAUACAGUCCUAUUUAGACCACCC